GGUCUAUUAGUCUAGUUGGUUAGGACGUCGGAUUCUGAUGAUCAUAACGCAUCGGACUUCUUCCGUAGGCCCAGGUUCGAAUCCUGGAUGGACCU
rnacentral:tRNA from 1 species